UCUAUAAUCCCAAAUUUAGAAGGACACUUAAAGCUGGAGGUCAUGGUUUAUGCAUUAUACAGAGAUGCAUUAAAAUGUUACAUAGAACAGAUUCAGACUUGAAUUUCCUGCAAACACUGUACAGACCAGGGAGUAACACAACCAACCAUUUUGCUCUAUUAAUAUUGCAAUGUAAAAUCUGUUCUAGUAAACUUCAGCACACUAGUUCUUUCCAGUAAUCUCUUAACAUUGUACUAAAUUUUCUACAAGAGAUCUAAAUAUUGGGCACCUAGAUGACACCUGCCAGAAUUCCUUGCUGUGCAAAGCUAUAC